GUGUUUUGGACUUCGACGAGGGAACUUAGAAAAUUUCCCGGAGAACAUUCCUGCAAAUUAAUUUGGGAAGUGGGGAUACUCGCCUGCGAGGGAGGAAAACAAAGACGGUCCUUCGACCGACUCUCACAAUUACUAGUUCAGUUGUGUUUUGGACUUCGACGAGGGAACUUAGAAAAUUUCCCGGAGAACAUUCCUGCAAAUUAAUUUGGGAAGUGGGGAUACUCGCCUGCGAGGGAGGAAAACAAAGACGGUCCUUCGACCGACUCUCACAAUUACUAGUUCAGUUGUGUUUUGGACUUCGACGAGGGAACUUAGAAAAUUUCCCGGAGAACAUUCCUGCAAAUUAAUUUGCGAAGUGGGGAUACUCGCCUGCGAGGGAGGAAAACAAAGACGGUCCUUCGGCCGACUCUCACGGUUACUAGUUCAGUUGUGCUCUGGACUUCGACGAGGGAACUUAGAAAAUUUCCCGGAGAACAUUCCUGCAAAUUAAUUUGCGAAGUGGGGAUACUCGCCUGCGAGGGAGGAAAACAAAGACGGUCCUUCGGCCGACUCUCACAGUUACUAGUUCAGUUGUGCUUUGGACUUCGACGAGGGAACUUAGAAAAUUUCCCGGAGAACAUUCCUGCAAAUUAAUUUGGGAAGUGGGGAUACUCGCCUGCGAGGGAGGAAAACAAAGACGGUCCUUCGACCGACUCUCACAGUUACUAGUUCAGUUGUGUUUUGGACUUCGACGAGGGAACUUAGAA